UCAGCGGCAGACGCGCGCAAGAAGGUGCAUGCUGCCGGACAUCUCGGGGCUGGAAUCACAUUUAUUCUCAUUAGACUGCGAUAGUGUCAGCUGGAGGCAGGGGAGGCACGAGCCAGGGUCAUAAAACUACCUCACUACCUUUACCCGCCAUUACCUCAUACAGAUCACAUCACACCCAGUCAGCGCCGAAGCUGCACGCUGCCGUAUGUUUUUAAUGUGCAUCGCUUUUUUUGCCGGUCAAUUUUACCGGCUACUUAUCAAACUACUCUCGCAAACAGGGAGUCAACCUUCAAACAUAAACCAGUUGUCAACAGCGACAGCGGAGGUCAAUAGAGAUGGCUCCACGAGAUGAACUGGCUCGCUCCCCUGAGACGUGCGUUCUCAGCGAGGCCCAGUGAUAGAUGAAGUGUGUGAGGGAUCGGUUCGGGCCCGUGUUCAAUCAAACUUCAUGGCUUACGUUACAGUGGAUGAGGCAUGGGCAUUUCAUGGGACCUGUUUUAUGUUCUGUAGGCCCUGGAGCGUGGCAUUGUUUGCACUGAACAGAUUUGGGGAAAUUUAUCAUCACAUCACUUGCUCACCAUUGGAUCCUCUGUAGUGAAUGGGUGCCGUCAGAAUGAGAGUCCAAACAGCUGAUAAAAAAAUCCACAUGACUCCAGUCCAUAAAUUAACGUCUUGUGCCGUCUCAUCUGAAUCAGGAGAGAAAUAUGCACAAAAGCGACAGUUGCUAGUAAAUUUCACAAUUAAUUACAAGAAACACAUUGAAUUAAAUGUGAAUUUUUGAAAUGUAAGACUAAAGUAAUAUUUUCUUUUAAAACACACUCCAAAAUCUUCAAGAAACUUCAAAAACAUUGGGUUUUUUUUAAACAAAGUCAUAAAGGUUCAGAAAAACAUGAGGGUAAGUAAGUGAUAAAAUACUUUUCAUUUUUUGGUGAGCUAUUCAUUUAAUCUUUCUAUCAUAAUAGUUUUCAAGGAAAUUUGGACUUGUAGACAACAAGCUUAAAUCAACAGUAGUGAAAAGACAACAAACACUCCCAGUAUAAAUGGCAUAAAUCAAAUGAAGCAGUGAAGGUAAUAAAUUAAAAAUGUAUCUUUUCAUCAGAACAUUGUUUUGCUUACUGAUUUGAUUUAUCGUCUAGUUAUCUUUCUUUCAGUCUUGCGCUCUUUUUUUUUUUUGCACAUACACACACACACACACACACACACAAAUACAUGAAAGCCAAACACACAAAACCAUUGAGGUGUUUCUUGGGCUCA